AUUGAACGCUGGCGGCAGGCUUAACACAUGCAAGUCGAGCGGGGUGAUGGUGCUUGCACUAUCACUUAGCGGCGGACGGGUGAGUAAUGCUUAGGAAUCUGCCUAUUAGUGGGGGACAACAUCUCGAAAGGGAUGCUAAUACCGCAUACGUCCUACGGGAGAAAGCAGGGGAUCUCUUGUGACCUUGCGCUAAUAGAUGAGCCUAAGUCGGAUUAGCUAGUUGGUGGGGUAAAGGCCUACCAAGGCGACGAUCUGUACCGGGUCUGAGAGGAUGCUCCGACACACUGGGACCGAGACACGGCCCCGACUCCUACGGGAGGCAGCAGUGGGGAAUAUUGGACAAUUGGGGGAACCCUGAUCCAGCCAUGCCGCGUGUGUGAAGAAGGCCUUAUGGUUGUAAAGCACUUUAAGCGAGGAGGAGGCUCUUUUGGUUAAUACCCAAGAUGAGUGGACGUUACUCGCAGAAUAAGCACCGGCUAACUCUGUGCCAGCCGCCGCAGUAA
rnacentral:rRNA from 1 species